GGUAGUGGACAUCUCCCCGUGGCAUCCAGUUGUCCCAUCAUACCCUCAACAAGGGUAUGGAUACCGAAAUAUCGUUUCUCAACGCAUACAAACGAAGCGUACAAUGUACAAGUAUUUGCUUUUAUGCUUUCAUCACGUGUUGACGAAGCGAGAGGGGUGUGCGGAUGAGCGUCAAGCGAUAGCGUGACAGUUCUAGGCUAACAUUUUCGCAGAGUUCAGGCCCACUGUGCGCCUGCCAAAACACUUGUCAGCCGAUGCUCUCUCUGUGCAAGCUUUUGCCGCUUUGGUUUUCUCUUGCUCUUCUCUUUUUUUUUUGUAUUCUCUGCUCUCCCUCUCUCUUUACUGGCUCUCUGCUCUCUGUCCACACUGUUAUGAUUUUCUGCACCUGUUUAACUGUUUUUGUUUUCGUUGAGUGAGCGGGUCGGCAGCUCCCGUCGCCCUUCUCCCCCCCCAGAGUUUCUAUGGUUCUAACUGGUUUUUCAAAAUUCCCUUACAUUGCCAUAUCCAUUUCCAAUACACCAAUCUCGGAGCAAUUUCACUUGCCGCCGCCACCACCGUCUCAUUGGCAGAGCAAUUGGUAAUUGGACUUGGAGCGGGUUGUAUAACUAAGUAUGGCCAGACCUGAGACCAGACGGGCCCGCCGUCAGCGACAGACCGACCGACCGCAUGGCAGCCGAAACGUACGAAUCGUACGAAUCGUACGAACCGGUGCGGUGCCCGAGUUGCCAACACAGUAGCGUCGAAAAAGUAGUGUGUAAACAAUUUUGGGGCCGCUCUCUUCGCUUUUAUCGCCGGCUAUGGAGUUGGUUGUCGCCGCCAUGCCAGGGUGUGUUAAUAUGGGGUGAACUAUUCCCGAUCUUCAAAAAGCAUUUUCUUUUGCGCGCACUGCCUUUCGCAUUCCCAUAAAGCUCUGAAAGAUGCUCCACGAGGAAAUAAAUAGUCGUAUCCAACGUUUUUGAUUUACAUAGUUAAAGACUUUGGACUUGAAAACACACACUCGUAAGAGUUUUUAUUAAUACAAUAAAGUAUUGUACACUAUUGUCUCCACCACACCAUGCAUGGCUCUCUCCCACACUCACACUCUCUCACUUGCUGUUACACUCACACAUAAGAGUGUGGUCGCUCUAUCCCCCUCUCACGACCGCCUGCAGUUUGUUUAUGCGACGCUUGUCCCACAUAAUUUUUGUUUGUUAGUUUAUCUGCUCUUCUUCUUUCACAUCUUCUUUGAGCUACUGCGUCGGCGCCGCGUCUCUGCCGGCAGACAACGAUUUCGUUCUAUUUUCCAUCGCACACGUUUUCCGAAUCCUCUUCUCACUCACUCACUCUCCUACGGCCUGUAUUUUUGGCAGCCACGUUGUUGGAGAGAAAAAUCUCUGUGGCUACAACCGGCCGGAAAAACCGGGCAAACAAUUCCCAUUGGAACGUUUAUUUCUUUUUGCCGACAAUAACGCUGCGGCCCGUUUGUCGACUCAAUUACUCUGCCACCAAACUAGAACACACACACAUACGUAAAAACAAACAUAUAUGGACCAUAUACGUACGCACGCAAACGUAAAAACAAUAACGGCAGUUUUUUUUCUCUUUCUACCCCUUUCCCACUGAAUCAAGUAAAUGCCGAUACAUUGUACGACGCGACAGCGCUGUGUUUUGUUAUUUGCGCGCGGGUGUUGCGGUACAGCGACGCUGAUACGGUACAUAGCCCACCUCUGCCAUGGCUAUCGGCUGCGGUUGUAUUGGUGUGAUUGACUUUUUCGCCUCUCCUCGCGACACAUGUGUGCACCCACACGGACGCGCCGCUCCACAGCGCACAGAACAACGAAGCACAUUUAUGUAAAUGCGAAGAAUGAAAGAAUUACCUUUUGCCGUGCACAGUGGGUCUCGCCGGCGUCGUUGAGAGCAAUGGACAAUAGGAACAAAACUCUGUUAUCAAACAACAUACAUAUGUUGGUGGUUCUGAGAACUCUUUUCUUCCAGUGGGUCCUAAUUAGGCCGAAUAUCGAAAUGCUUAUUUUUAUAUUCGCUAAAUAUACCAAAAAUAUAUCAAUCUAACACUCUCGUCCAUUAUGAUUUUAAAUGUUCUUAAAUGCUUCACAUAUACAUACAUCCAAAUAAGUAAGACUAUUCAGUGUAUUCAAAAAAUAUAAAAAUGUAUAAAGGUUCGUUAUGCAAGA